UCCGGUUUGUCACCGGCAGUCUCCUAUGAGUCCCCGACAUUACUCGCUGGCAACAUAGGACAGGGGUUGCGCUCGUUGAUGGACUUAACCAAACAUCUCACGACACGAGCUGACGACGGCCAUGCAUCACCUGUCACUUGGUUCCAAAGGCACUCUCUCCUUUCGGAGAAAUUCCAAGGAUGUCAAGCCUGGGUAAGGUUCUUCGCUUACCAUCGAAUUAAACAACACGCUCCACCGCUUGUGCGGGUCCCCGUCAAUUCCUUUAUGUUUUAGUCUUGCGACCGUACUCCACAGGCGGGAUGCUUAACGCGUUAGCUUCGCUACUACCAGGGUCGAUACUGAUAACAGCUAGCAUCCAUAGUUUACGGCGUGGACUAC
rnacentral:misc_RNA from 1 species